AGGAAUUCAGUGCCCAGUGGGCCUCCCUCGCCCCGAGUGUCUGGUGGACUGUGGGCACCAGUGAUGCUGUAGUCCACCAUCAGCUCCACAGUCAUGUGUCCAGGUUGGAGCCUCACUAGCCGUAGCCAUAGGCACAGGCUGUUUAUUGGCUUUGUGCUUGAGUUUCUUCAGGCAUGAAUGGUGGUAAUAAGUCAGAGAAUUGUCUCAAGGAUGGAAAAUGGAUGCGAAGGCAGCGCAAUCUCGAUGCAGAUGCAUCUGACUGGAGAUGUCCCGAGCCUUCUGGAUUUUUCAACUCUUCUGAGACCAAAAGAAGACUAAAUCAAAGAAGAACUCUGACCUUGGCGCUUGAAGAGGGAAAGCGGGAACAAGUAUAAAAUGUUCCUCCUGUCUCACGACUCUGUCAGGGUCUUGGGAAAAUGAACCUGUGGAAGACAAUGGGAAAUCCUAGCAAAUGAGGCAAAAGGUUCCUGAGUUUGGGGGAGAACACUGCCUACCACUGGCCCCGUUAGAGGGAGGUUCCCGCCAAGCCCGCUGUUCCUGCUGGGACCUGUUCAAGGACAGCAAACAUGGUUUCCAGGACUGGAAAGGUCUGAAAAACAGAUUUGUUCCAGCAGUGGACAGGAGUUGGACAGCAGGUGUCACUUUAUGGACAGGGAGGAGGUGGGCUCUCCCACCCACCACAUUCCCUGGUACUUCCUUCUGACACUUGCUGUCUUCUGCUGAGUCACGGAAUAUCUGCACCUGCUGUCUCUGGAGCAGAGUGAAGAAAGAACGGCUGGAUAGAGCACCUAAUGAUGACAGAACACAGACAAGGAAGGAAGGCCCCGCACAGGUUAUAGAGGCCGGUAGUAAGCCACACUCAAAGUUUCUCUGUACAGAUGGUGGGCCCAGCUGCAUGUUUCGGAAACCAGACGAGUGGCCCAUGCUUGCGGCUGUCAGAAGAGUAGAUGGGAGGUGUGAUUAUUGUCCAGGCCACUUCUGUCUUUCAUAGGACAGGUGAUGUGGCGAGGAUGGUGGGAGGACCUGAAGGAGAAGACAGCUUAGAUAAUUGCUGAGCAUCUUCAGCUCUUUGCAGAAGAGUUUAGAGUCCUGCUGAAAUCCGAAGCAUUGGAUUCUAGCCAUGAGCCAGCAA
rnacentral:lncRNA from 1 species